rnacentral:rRNA from 1 species
UACGGAGGGAGCAAGCGUUACUCGGAAUUACUGGGCGUAAAGGGCGCGUAGGCGAUCUAUUAAGUCUUGUGUGAAAUCCCAGGGCCUAACCCUGGAAUGGCAUGGGAAACUGAUAGGUUAGAGUGCAGGAGAGGAAGGCAGAAUUCCCGGUGUAGCGGUGAAAUGCGUAGAUAUCGGGAGGAAUACCAGUGGCGAAGGCGGCCUUCUGGACUGCAACUGACGCUGAGGCGCGAAAGCUAGGGGAGCAAACGGG